rnacentral:rRNA from 1 species
CGGAGGGUGCAAGCGUUAUCCGGAUUCACUGGGUUUAAAGGGUGCGUAGGUGGGUUUGUAAGUCAGUGGUGAAAUCUCCGAGCUUAACUCGGAAACUGCCAUUGAUACUAUAGAUCUUGAAUUAUCUGGAGGUGAGCGGAAUAUGUCAUGUAGCGGUGAAAUGCUUAGAUAUGACAUAGAACACCAAUUGCGAAGGCAGCUUACUACACAGUUAUUGACACUGAGGCACGAAAGCGUGGGGAUCAAACAGGAUUAGAUACCCUGGUAGUCCACGCCCUAAACGAUGGAUACUCGACAUUAGCGAUACACAGUUAGUGUCUGAGCGAAAGCAUUAAGUAUCCCACCUGGGAAGUACGAUCGCAAGAUUG